GAACAGUACCGGGGGCGGGCCGAGAGACGCAGCCGGGACGGUAGCUGCAGAGCAGAGCGGAGGAGCCAUCUUGUCUUGUCGCCGGGGAGUCAGGCCCCUAACUCGAAGAAGCCCUGGCGCGCCCUCCCCCCCUCCCCGGUCUGGGCCAGAGACAAAUGGUUUCCUUUCAAGAGAAAUGACUGUUUUGAAGAAAAACUCUGUUGGUCUUAGCUCUUUUGUAAUUAAAUCUGGAUGUACCUCAAAAGACUCUUUAAGACUGUGGUGUUAAAAGGCUUUCCUCUGGAGAAGGAGAAAAAAUAAAAUCAACUGGAACUUAAAAGCUUGAAAUUCCAUGACAAAACACAGAUGUCCAGGAUUGGAGGUUCAUAAAGUACAUGCAGUA
ensembl:processed_transcript Tug1 taurine upregulated gene 1